GACGAACGCUGGCGGCGUGCUUAACACAUGCAAGUCGAACGGAAAGGCCCUGCUUUUGUGGGGUGCUCGAGUGGCGAACGGGUGAGUAACACGUGAGUAACCUGCCCUUGACUUUGGGAUAACUUCAGGAAACUGGGGCUAAUACCGGAUAGGAGCUCCUGCUGCAUGGUGGGGGUUGGAAAGUUUCGGCGGUUGGGGAUGGACUCGCGGCUUAUCAGCUUGUUGGUGGGGUAGUGGCUUACCAAGGCUUUGACGGGUAGCCGGCCUGAGAGGGUGACCGGCCCCAUUGGGACUGAGAUACGGGCCAGACUCCUACGGGAGGGAGGAGUGGGGAAUUAUGCACAAUGGGCGGAAGCCUGAUGCAGCAACGCCGCGUGCGGGAUGACGGCCCUCGGGUUGGAAACCGCUUUCGCCUGUGACGAAGCGUGAGUGACGGUAAUGGGUAAAGAAGCACCGGCUAACUACGUG
rnacentral:rRNA from 1 species